GAUGAACGCUGGCGGCGUGCCUAAUACAUGCAAGUCGAGCGAACAGACGAGGAGCUUGCUCCUCUGACGUUAGCGGCGGACGGGUGAGUAACACGUGGAUAACCUACCUAUAAGACUGGGAUAACUUCGGGAAACCGGAGCUAAUACCGGAUAAUAUAUUGAACCGCAUGGUUCAAUAGUGAAAGACGGUUUUGCUGUCACUUAUAGAUGGAUCCGCGCCGCAUUAACUAGUUGGUAAGGUAACGGCUACCAAGGCAACGAUGCGUAGCCGACCUGAGAGGGUGAUCGGCCACACUGGAACUGAGACACGGUCCAGACUCCUACGGGAGGCAGCAGUAGGGAAUCUUCCGCAAUGGGCGAAAGCCUGACGGAGCAACGCCGCGUGAGUGAUGAAGGUCUUCGGAUCGUAAAACUCUGUUAUUAGGGAAGAACAAAUGUGUAAGUAACUAUGCACGUCUUGACGGUACCUAAUCAGAAAGCCACGGCUAACUACGUG
rnacentral:rRNA from 1 species